CCUACGGGAGGCAGCAGUGAGGAAUAUUGGACAAUGGGCGCAAGCCUGAUCCAGCCAUGCCGCGUGCAGGAUGACGGUCCUAUGGAUUGUAAACUGCUUUUGUACAGGAAGAAACACUGGUUCGUGAACCAGCUUGACGGUACUGUAAGAAUAAGGAUCGGCUAACUCCGUGCCAGCAGCCGCGGUAAUACGGAGGAUCCAAGCGUUAUCCGGAAUCAUUGGGUUUAAAGGGUCCGUAGGCGGUUUGGUAAGUCAGUGGUGAAAGCCCAUCGCUCAACGGUGGAACGGCCAUUGAUACUGCCAGACUUGAAUUAUUAGGAAGUAACUAGAAUAUGUAGUGUAGCGGUGAAAUGCUUAGAGAUUACAUGGAAUACCGAUUGCGAAGGCAGGUUACUACUAAUUGAUUGACGCUGAUGGACGAAAGCGUGGGUAGCGAACAGGAUUAGAUACCCUGGUAGUCCACGCCGUAAACGAUGGAUACUAGCUGUUGGGAGCAAUCUCAGUGGCUAAGCGAAAAGUGAUAAGUAUCCCACCUGGGGAGUACGUUCGCAAGAAAGAGAAGACGAAAGAAAGUAGAGACGUGAGAGAGCGACGGACGACGACGAGGGAGGAGGAG
rnacentral:rRNA from 1 species